GGAGACGGCGGAGGGGUGGGGAGAGAUACAAGGCAGCUCCCCUGCCCCGUGGGGUAAGGGAGGGUGAGGGGGCUGCCCUGCCCAGCGGCCAGUGGGGAUUGUUCCCCUACAAAUGGUCAGACCAGCAGUGGGGGAUGGGCAGGGUGACCGUCCCUCUCGAACUGGGCAGGACAGUCCUGAAGUGCAGAGUUCAAGUCCUGGUCCUGGGCUGAAGGACUCCCGACACCAUUUGUCCCGGAUUCCCUGCGCCAGGGCUCUGCGCCUGCCCGAGGCUCCGGGGCAGCGCCAGCCUGUUCCCCAUGGGUGGGAUUGAGGUGGGACCCCCCUUGGCCUCGAGCCCUCGCCCCCUGCUCCUCCUCUUCCCUGCCCCCUGGCCAACCAGAAGCUAGAUCCAGGCCAUAAUAAGAGCUGCCCCGUCUGCAGUGGGGAGUCCCAGACUCUCCGCCUGCCCUGGGGGGCCGGCAGAUGGGCCGGGGGAUGCUGUGGGCACUGGGGUUGCCAGCUUGCUAAUUCCAGCCCCCCCCCCCCCUUCCGAUGAUGCAUCCGAUGAAGUGAGCUGUAGCUCACGAAAGCUUGUGCUCAAAUAUAUUGGUUAGUCUCUAAGGUGCCACAAGUACUCCUUUUCUUCUUGCGAAUACAGACUAACAUGGCUGCUACUCUGAAAUCUUUCUCCACACACUUUCUCAGGCCCGACGGGGGAGGUGCUGGCACAGGAGUCGCCACAGGGCCCCGAGAUAGGCAGUCUUGUGUCAGGGCCGGCCUCAGGGAAAAUGGCACCCUGGGUGAACUUGCAUUUUGGUGCCUCUGACCCCCGUGGGCAUGGAGCACCCUCACCCCAGUUGCCUCCCUAACCUCCCUUCACCCCAAUCCCUGCACUGAGCCCCCUUUGUCCCUAACCCUGCCCCCUCCUGCACGCUAACCUCUACAUUGUGCCCCCUUCACCCCAACUCCUACCCCCCUCCUUGCCCCUAAGCUCUGCAUCCCCUUCCUGCACCCACAUGGGGAAACUGACCUGGAUGCAGGGAUGGAGCAGCUGGCAUUGCUGCUCGCUCCCCCACUGGACUGAUGCUCCUUUGCCCCGCACCCCCCUAGGGGGCUGUGAGCAGGGGGAGCGAGGUCGGGGCUCCCUGCACGCACGUCACGUUCCCUGCCUGGGCUGUGUCAGGAGAGCAGGAGCUCCUGAUGCUGAUCUCAUCGCACUCUCUUUAAGAAAGCACCCAGGGUCGGUCACGCACCUGAAGUGCUGCCCUUCCCUCCAGCAGCCCCAUUCCCAGCACUCGGAGACGAAGAUCUAUACCUCAAACUCCUGGUGCUGGUGAUGGGACGACAGACUGCGAGGUCGCUGCAUGGCACAUGCCGCAACUGGAGCCCAGCCACACGAGGAGAAGAUGCCCGGCAGCGGAGGCAGAAGUGCGUGCCGUGACCCCUCAACAGCCGCCUGCUGAGUGCUUGCGAGUGGGGCUAGUUCGUCCCUUGCCCUGACCCAGCCGGCCACUGGGAGCUGCGUCUGCGGGCGGGAGCUGGGGGCAGCACGCAGAACCCCCUGGCCGCCCCUAAGCCUAGGAGCCAGACAUACCAGGUGCUUCCCCUGAGCCGCAUGUCGCGGAGGCUAGCAGGGAGCCAGCCAGCCCUGCUGCGCAGCACCAGUCUACGGCCCGGUUAGCGGUGCUGACUAGAGCCUCCAAGAUCCCUUUUCAAGCGGGUGUUCCAGUCCAAAAUCAGACAUCUGGUCACCCUAAUCGGCCCUCCAGCCCCCUGCCAAGGGCAGGUGGAGGGUCUGGGGCUCCCUGCAGUAGCCCAGGCUCCCUGUGCAGGUGUUAUUACAGCUGGACUUCUGGCCUGGCCAGGAGACAGGGUCUCAGAGGAAAGAGGUGGAGCAGGGGGCGUAGCCUCAGGGAGAGGAGGGGCGGGGCUCCUGCAUGUUUCCCACUUUUGCCUUUAGAAAAGCUGAUCACCCAGAGAUAGGGGGCGGGCAGAAGAUUUACCUAGGAGGGCUGAGAAUUUACCAGGCAAAUGUCCACCCAGAAUCGCCACACACACCCCGCUCCCAAUUUCAUGUUUGUGUUUAAAAACAAUCUUCUUAUUUGAGGGGUCUGUCUCCUGGGUUGACAGCACUGAACAGGGGCUGGUCUGAUUUCUGCUCAGGAUUCGGUGUCCAACCAGAGUCACUGCGAGCCACAAGGAGUGGAAUUGGGGUUUGGUUCGGGUUCAGUGGCAGAAGGGGGAGGGGGUUGGGAGUGAGCCCUGUGGCUUGCUUCAGUGGGGAACUGAAUUUGGGGCCUGGGGCCUGCCUCAGCUGGGGCAGUUGGAGGGAGGAGCUGCCCCAAGGGGUGGGGACAGGUGAGAGGAGGCCUGUCUAAGGGGAAGAAGAAUUGAGCAGCCUUUUCCCUUGGGCUUGAAGAGUUAAUGUUAACUUCUGGGACAGGGAGCCCCACUUCUCUCCCCCCUCCCUCCCUGCUCCUGUGGGCUGCCCCCUUCUCUUCUCCUACUGGGACAGGCCGUACCGGUAGCGAUCACAUGCCUGGGUGUUGUUUUGUUGUCUUGUUUUACCCUGAGUGAGAUCAGAGUAGGUUUUAUUUUAUUUUGUCAAAUAUUGAGCUGAAAAACUGCUGAAACUUCAUUUCAACAGGUAGCCAUUUUUUUUCCAAGUUCAAUUCAGAUUCACUGAGGAAGAGGGGAAAUACUGGUUUGAGUCUGGUUCCAGGUCAGUUGAGCAUAUCGGUUCAACCUGGUUCUGUUCUGUUCUGGUGUGAGUCCAGGUGGGCCAAUGAAAUCCGCAGCUGCUGAAUUGUCUCAGAAGGAGGGUUGGGGGACUGGUUACUGCUAAGGCAGAGAAGGCUGGUGUCUAUUUCUGUCUGCUCAUGAUUAAGGCUGCGAGUUUGUCACGGAGGUCAUGGAAGCUAGAAGCUUAGGGAGGGAAGAUGUCGCUGCUUCUGAGAAGCCAGGUAGGAAGCCUGCGAGCCCUGUCAACCCCGCCCUCCAGCACCAGCGGGGAUCCUGGGCUGCUCCCACCCGAGCACCCACAGCGCCCCCUAGACCAUCCCCCUGAGCACCCGCGGAGCCCCCCACCGCCACUAACUCCCAGCACCCGUGGUGCCCCCCGGGCCACUCCCGCCCACAAGCACCUGCGGCACUCCCAAGAGUUAGUGAGCAGUACAGUACAAGUCAUGGACAGGUCACGAGCCAUGAAGUUUUGUUUACAGCAUGUGACCUGUCCCUGAGUUUUACUAAAAAUAUCCAUGACUCUGCAGUGUGAUCUGGGGCCCAGACUGAGCAGCAGCUGCUUCCCCAGCGGGGUCUGUGCCAAGGAGAGACCUUCAUUAACCCCCCUCUGUGUCCAAGACGGGGUACGGGACGGACUGACAACUUUCUCCGGUGGCUGGAACCAGCUCCUAGGGUAGCCCCGGGCUCUGCUGGCACCAGCCCCUGAGCCAGAACAUGCAGGUGACUGGGAGAGACCCCGGGGGAAAGGGCUGGGGCCGGGCAGGAAGGUGACUCUGCACAACAGGCCCCUUUCAGGGACCUGCUGGCUGAGGAAUCACGUCCACGUUUUGCUCCAGAUCCUCCCGUCUUCCAGGGGACAGGGAAGGGAAAUGGCUGUGAAGGAGCCAGCUCAGCUAGUCAAUCGCCCGAGUGUCAUCACCCUGCCUGCUGGCUGGGCAGGGUAACUCCUGAGGUCACCACCCUCUCCAGCCUGCCUUGGGCUUGGAGAGUGAGGAGGAGGGUGAGGGACGUCUGCUGACCCUGAACAUCCGCCAUCCAUCAUCCCAUCACCGAGAGCAAGGUUUCACACCGAGCAGGUUCACGUGGGUUGCGCUCUGAACGGCCAGGCCCUCGUGGACCCGAGGUUCCAGUACGCCUACGAUGGGAGGGACUUCAUCAGCUUUGAUGAUCAGACGGGGACGUGGGUCGCGGCCGAACAGGCGGCCUUCCCUCAGAAGCAGAGCUGGGAGAUGGGCAAGACGCGGGCUCAGUACGUCCGGUGGUACCUGAAACAAGAGUGUCUGGACACCCUGCAGAGCCUGGUGCAGCAGGGGAGUGGGGUCCUGCGGCAGCAGGGUGAGUGAGCCUGCAAGGAGCUAGCAGGGGGUGCGGGAGGGGCACAGUCACACCAAUGGGACUUAGGUACAGAGGUGCCGACUUCCCAAUGCUCCAGGGGAUGCUCGACCCCCACUCUGACCCAGGCCCUCCCCCCACUCCACCCCUUCCUGCCUCACCUCUUCCCACACCCACUCCGCCCCCCACUCCAACCCCUCUGCCUCUCCCCACCCUGUUCCACCCCUUC